AGCUCCAAUAGCGUAUAUUAAAGUUGUUGCGGUUAAAAAGCUCGUAGUUGGAUUUCUGUUGAAGUCAGCCGGUGUGCACCUCGUGCAUUAUUUGGCCUGGCUUUGGCAUCCUCUUGGGGAACGUCUCUGGACUUUAUUGGACAGGGCGAGAUUCAAGACUUUUACUUGAGGAAAUUAGAGUGUUCACGGCAGGCAAGUGCUUUGAAUACAUUAGCAUGGAAUAAUAAUAUAGGACCUUCGU
rnacentral:rRNA from 1 species